AGAGUUUGAUCCUGGCUCAGAACGAACGCUGGCGGCAUGCCUAACGCAUGCAAGUCGAACGAGAUCUUCGGAUCUAGUGGCGCACGGGUGCGUAACGCGUGGGAAUCUGCCUUGGGGUUCGGAAUAACUCCCCGAAAGGGGUGCUAAUACCGGAUGAUGUCGAAAGACCAAAGAUUUAUCGCCCUGAGAUGAGCCCGCGUAGGAUUAGCUAGUUGGUGUGGUAAAGGCGCACCAAGGCGACGAUCCUUAGCUGGUCUGAGAGGAUGAUCAGCCACACUGGGACUGAGACACGGCCCAGACUCCUACGGGAGGCAGCAGUGGGGAAUAUUGGACAGUGGGCGAAAGCCUGAUCCAGCAAUGCCGCGUGAGUGAUGAAGGCCUUAGGGUUGUAAAGCUCUUUUACCCGGGAAGAUAAUGACUGUACCGGGAGAAUAAGCCCCGGCUAACUCCGUGCCAGCAGCCGCGGUAAUACGGAGGGGGCUAGCGUUGUUCGGAAUUACUGGGCGUAAAGCGCACGUAGGCGGCUUUGUAAGUCAGAGGUGAAAGCCUGGAGCUCAACUCCAGAACUGCCUUUGAGACUGCAUCGCUUGAAUCCAGGAGAGGUGAGUGGAAUUCCGAGUGUAGAGGUGAAAUUCGUAGAUAUUCGGAAGAACACCAGUGGCGAAGGCGGCUCACUGGACUGGUAUUGACGCUGAGGUGCG
rnacentral:rRNA from 1 species